GGCCACAGUGUGUCUCACAGAAGAAGGAAAUGGAGAGUGAGGGUGGUGGGGACUACAGCUGCCUUGUCCAAAAAACUGGGGCCUUAGAAUGUUGUUUUAGGCUUUAUUUU